rnacentral:rRNA from 1 species
GACGAACGCUGGCGGCGUGCUUAAUACAUGCAAGUCGAACGGAAAGACGCUGCUCUUGCUGGGUUCUCGAUUGGCGAACGCGGGAGUAACACGUGUGUAACCUCCACUUGUCUGUGUGAGAACUUCAGGAAACUGGGGCUAAUACCGCAGAUGAUCUCCUGCUGCACGGUGGGGGAUGGAGAGUGUCGGCGGUUGUGGAUGGUCUCGCUGCUUAUCAGCUUGUUUGUGAGGUAGUGGCUUACAAAGGCUAUGACGGGUAGCCGGCCUGAGAGCGUGACCAGGCACAUUGCGACUGCGAUACGGAGCAGACUGCUACGUGAGGCAGCAGUCGGAAAUAUUGCAGAAUGGGCGCACGCGUGAUGUGGAGACGCUGCGUGCGGGAAGACGGCUUUCUGGUUGUAAACCGCUUUCGCAUGUGACGUGGAGUUCGUGACGGUAAUGGGUAAGGAAGCCCCGGCUAACUACGUG